GAUGAACGCUGGCGGCGUGCCUAAUACAUGCAAGUCGAGCGAACAGACGAGGAGCUUACUCCCCUGACGUUAGCGGCGGACGGGUGAGUAACACGUGGAUAACCUACCUAUAAGACUGGGAUAACUUCGGGAAACCGGAGCUAAUACCGGAUAACAUGUUCAACCGCAUGGUUCAACAGUGAAAGACGGUCUUGCUGUCACUUAUAGAUGGAUCCGCGUCGCAUUAGCUAGUUGGUAAGGUAACGGCUUACCAAGGCAACGAUGCGUAGCCGACCUGAGAGGGUGAUCGGCCACACUGGAACUGAGACACGGUCCAGACUCCUACGGGAGGCAGCAGUAGGGAAUCUUCCGCAAUGGGCGAAAGCCUGACGGAGCAACGCCGCGUGAGUGAAGAAGGUCUUCGGAUCGUAAAACUCUGUUAUUAGGGAAGAACAAAUGUGUAAGUAACUGUGCACGUCUUGACGGUACCUAAUCAGAAAGCCACGGCUAACUACGUG
rnacentral:rRNA from 1 species